UUGACUAAGAUGACUUGCGGAUUCUCCGAGUGUGGUUGAUGAACAGGGAAUUCACAGGCCUUCUGACCCCCUCAAGGGCUGGAGCGGAACAGUGAAGUUCUACACCAAUCCAUAUAAAGGUCAUUGCAACUGCUGGGCUGUAUGCUACUGCGGAACGAAUUGGUUAUAAUUACAAAAAGUUCUGGGCUGAGACAGUGGAUUGUCUCUUUUUACAGCAGGGUUCUUAUUCGAGGGAGCAUUUUCAGCAUUCACAGAAAAGGCCAUCUCGGCCCAGUUUCCCAGACGUCCAGGGCUACUUUGAAGGCCUGAGCCACCGUUAGCGUCACAGCCUGGGCCUGGGAAACCACAGAAGGAGAAGGAGCCUCAGAGAACAGUGAAGUACUUUGUAACAACCACCAGAUGGAGACACACACCAAACAUUGAGAAAGCGUGGCAUUCCAGGGUUUCAUUGAACUGACUCUGGGAAACGUAGGCAAAUACCUUAUCCUGAGUUUUAUCAGCUGUGCAGUAUGAGAUUCUGCAAGAGAAAAGUUACAAAAUAAUUCAACAUGAGGCCAUAACAUUGCAUCAUAAAAUGUGGUAAAUUGCAAUCACUGCAUCAGGUUAUUCUGAGGGUUCUGAGCUUUUGAAUACACUAGUUCUGCUGUUCCAUACUUGUUGCAUAUGCAUUUUAAAGACCAAUCACAGCUUGGGCUGAGGGAAGGUCAUGAAUAAUAUGCAAAUUAUAUAUCACAGAUGGGUGUCACAGAACAAGACUGAAAAGAGAAUUACCAUGAAGAUUGGCCAAUGAGCAUCAUACAUGAGAACUGCCCAAAGAACAUCACCAUCACAUCUUCAUGUCUUAUAAUAGUGAAAAUCAUACAACCUUCUGAGCUGUAGCGACACUUCAAGUGAUCAAGACAUGCUAUUCCAAGCGUUUCACCUUUAUUUUACUAGUCUUACAGACUUUAUGAUUGCAGCAUCAAGACAUUUUGGGGUUUUACUGUCAUCUAAAAGCCAUUUGGUACAACCUAGCCACCGGAUCCUCCUUCUGACAUGACAUGAAAGGGCUGAGGAGUGUGGUAUUAAUUCAGGCUUAUCUUGAAUCAAGAGGUUGAUGUUAUAAUCUUGAAUAUUCUGUAUGUCCCCAACCAAAGUCUCUGUAUAUCCUCUGUGCCCCUAAACAAUGUCCCUGUAUGUUCCAAACCAACAUGUCUAUGUUCCUAAUGAGGACCUGUGUGUGUGUGUGUGUGUGUGUGUGUGUGUGUCAAUUAGGUGAGGAUUAGAAAUAGAGAAUCAGAGGAAUAUCUCAUCCUCGAUGGCUCUGUGUUUGAUAUAAACCCUUUAAUAAAAGCGGCUUCAGUGAC